CGCGGCCCUUCCGGAGCGGUUGGCUGCAUAUAAGGCCGGCUCGGUUCUGGGCGUUGACACCCUCUGGCCGCAGCCGCCUCAGAUUUGGAAUUCUACACUAAAGUCAUCAUGGGCAUUUUCCAGAGAUUGAUGAAAAAUAAGGAACUCAUUCCUUUGGCGUUUUUUAUAAGCGCGGCAGCCACUGGAGCCUCAUCUUUUGCUUUGUAUGCUUUGAAAAAAACCGACGUGGUUAUUGAUCGAAAAAGAAACCCAGAACCUUGGGAAACGGUGGAUCCUACUCAACCCCAAAAGCUUUUAACCAUCAACCAGGAAUGGAAGCCUGUUGAGGAGCUGCAGAGAGUCCGGAGAGCGACCAGAUGAUUACUCGCUGCUCCUUUCUUCCAAAGAACACUCUAUGAAUCUAGUGGAAACACUUCUGCACAAACUCGAUUUUGAUGCCAGUGUGCGGAAAUGCUUCUGCUACAUUUUUAGGGUUUGCCUGCAUUCUUUGGAUCCUGCAUAAGCAAGCGAAGGUAGCACAUAGUCUAAAAUGGUUUUUCGUGUUUAUUGGUGUAAAUUUCAAUUUUACAGUUGAAAUUUUAUGUUUGUGAUGGUUGGAUAUUUUCCUUGAAAUGUAUAAACAUGUAAAAAUUAGAUUACUGCCUGUAAUAAAUAAUUAGAUGGCUAUCUGUAAAACGUAUGACCUGUGCAAGAGAUAUCAAAAAUUACUUAACUUUAAAAGUGGAGGGGGCAUCUUUUUAUGGGAACAAGCACAUUUUGAAGUAUAAAACUUCAACUUUUAAAUAUCAAGUGCAUAUUUCUGAGUUUUAUUUCCAAGUCCAUUCACUCUCACCCCAGAAACUUCUUGAGCAUGUAUUGUUUGCAGUAAAGAAAAAGGGUGCAAAGUUAGCAAGGGUUUGGAUAUGGUCCGUUUGGAGCAUGGAGACAGCUGAGAGGGCUGCCUGGGAAUGGCUGGUGACCAGGAACCUGAGGCAUGCAGAGACCAGCCCUGCAGAUCUCCGUGGGACUGCUGCUCCCCAGGAGGAUGGAGAGAGGAGCCUGGGGAGCCCUGGCCAGCACCCAGUACAGUCUGACCAAACAGAGACCAGGCGAUUGUUUAAUUCUUUCCAGAAUGUGCCCCCAACCCCAUUCCUUGCCGACUCCUAAAAAUGGGACGAAGUAGGAAGUUCCUUUUCAUUGACUGUAAAAUAAAUACAGCUAUAAUUCAUAUGCCAUAGUAAUCACUCACUUAAAUUGCAUAUCCCAAUGUUUUUAUUAUGUUUACAGUUGGGUAAUCAUCUCUGUCUAAUUCUACAACCUUUGCAUUAUUCUCAAAGGAACCCUGCACCCCAUAAGCAGUCACCGUCCCUGACCUGCUCCUAAGCCCAAGGCAAACACUAGUAAACCUUUAUUUCUGGGCUUGGGCUACUCUGGACAUCUUACAUACACAGGACCAUGUGUGGACUUUUGUUUCUGACUUUAUAUUCGAGGGGUUUCAGCCCUUAUGUGGCCUCGCACUGUCAGCAUCACCCCUUCUACUGAGGAAUUGCAUUGUGCUGAUAUUCCACAAACAUCAAUGGGCAUCUGCAAUGUUUCUAUCACGGACUGUGGUGAGCAAUGUUAGGACCAUCUUGGCAAGCUUCUCCAGGCCAUAUUCUCACUUGUAUCGAUUAUACGCUCAAGAUCUUUAUUGGAUUAUGAUGGUAAAUAUACCUUGGUUAAUUAUUAU
rnacentral:lncRNA from 1 species